UACAGGGGGUGCAAACGUUGCUCGGAAUCAUUGGGCGUAAAGCGCACGUAGGCGGUCUGUUAUGUCGGAUGUGAAAGCCCUUGGCUCAACUGAGGAAGUGCAUCCGAAACUGGCAGGCUAGAGUACUAAAGAGGAUCGCGGAAUUCCCGGUGUAGAGGUGAAAUUCGUAGAUAUUGGGAAGAACACCAGUGGCGAAGGCGGCUCACUGGUCCGAUACUGACGCUGAGGUGCGAAAGCGUGGGGAGCAAACAGG
rnacentral:rRNA from 1 species